UGCCCUAGUAACGGCGAGUGAAGCGGCAACAGCUCAAAUUUGAAAUCUGGCUCUCGGGCCCGAGUUGUAAUUUGUAGAGGAUACUUUUGAUGCGGUGCCUUCCGAGUUCCCUGGAACGGGACGCCAUAGAGGGUGAGAGCCCCGUCUGGUUGGAUGCCAAAUCUCUGUAAAGUUCCUUCAACGAGUCGAGUAGUUUGGGAAUGCUGCUCUAAAUGGGAGGUAUAUGUCUUCUAAAGCUAAAUACCGGCCAGAGACCGAUAGCGCACAAGUAGAGUGAUCGAAAGAUGAAAAGCACUUUGAAAAGAGAGUUAAAAAGUACGUGAAAUUGUUGAAAGGGAAGCGUUUAUGACCAGACUUGGGCUUGGUUAAUCAUCUGGGGUUCUCCCCAGUGCACUUUUCCAGUCCAGGCCAGCAUCAGUUUUCCCCGGGGGAUAAAGGCGGCGGGAAUGUGGCUCUCUUCGGGGAGUGUUAUAGCCCACCGUGUAAUACCCUGGGGGGGACUGAGGUUCGCGCAUCUGCAAGGAUGCUGGCGUAAUGGUCAUCAACGACCCGUCUUGAAACACGGACCAAGGAGUCGUCUUCGUAUGCGAGUGUUCGGGUGUCAAACCCCUACGCGUAAUGAAAGUGAACGCAGGUGAGAGCUUCGGCGCAUCAUCGACCGAUCCUGAUGUUCUCGGAUGGAUUUGAGUAAGAGCAUACGGGGCCGGACCCGAAAGAAGGUGAACUAUGCCUGUAUAGGGUGAAGCCAGAGGAAACUCUGGUGGAGGCUCGCAGCGGUUCUGACGUGCAAAUCGAUCGUCAAAUAUGGGCAUGGGGGCGAAAGACUAAUCGAACCUUCUAGUAGCUGGUUUCCGCCGAAGUUUCCCUCAGGAUAGCAGUGUUGAACUCAGUUUUAUGAGGUAAAGCGAAUGAUUAGGGACUCGGGGGCGCUAUUUAGCCUUCAUCCAUUCUCAAACUUUAAAUAUGUAAGAAGCUCUUGUUGCUUAAUUGAACGUGAGCAUUCGAAUGUAUCAACACUAGUGGGCCAUUUUUGGUAAGCAGAACUGGCGAUGCGGGAUGAACCGAACGCGAGGUUAAGGUGCCAGAGUAGACGCUCAUCAGACACCACAAAAGGUGUUAGUACAUCUUGACAGCAGGACGGUGGCCAUGGAAGUCGGAAUCCGCUAAGGACUGUGUAACAACUCACCUGCCGAAUGUACUAGCCCUGAAAAUGGAUGGCGCUCAAGCGUCUCACCCAUACCUCGCCCUCAGGGUAGAAACGAUGCCCUGAGGAGUAGGCGGACGUGGAGGUCAGUGACGAAGCCUA
rnacentral:rRNA from 1 species